rnacentral:lncRNA from 1 species
CGAUUGGUUUAGAUUUUAAGAAAUAAAAAUAUGUUUAUAAAUUUGAAGGUUUCUUAAGUUUUGUCGAAUGUGUAUGGAUGAAUUAUGGAUAGUGUGUUUUUGUGCUAGUUAUAAAUAUGUGUGCAAAUUUUGAGAUCAAUAGAACAAUUAGAUCAAAGUAUGUGAAGGUUCUUGUGGAUCAUGGUCUAAAACAUUGGAGUUUGAAGGUAGGUAAGUUUUUCUAAGAUCUUCAAUAAUUUGUGAAUCAAAUUGAAGUGAAUCUUUUUACAUGGAUACUAGACUUGAUUUGUAAGAUUUUAAUUAAUAUCUGAGAGUAAUU